UACGAAGGGGCUAGCGUUGCUCGGAAUCACUGGGCGUAAAGCGCACGUAGGCGGAUCUUUAAGUCAGGGUGAAAUCCCAAGGCUCAACCUUGGAACUGCCUUUGAUACUGGGGAUCUCGAGUCCGGAAGAGGUUGGUGGAACUGCGAGUGUAGAGGUGAAAUUCGUAGAUAUUCGCAAGAACACCAGUGGCGAAGGCGGCCAACUGGUCCGGUACUGACGCUGAGGUGCGAAAGC
rnacentral:rRNA from 1 species